rnacentral:rRNA from 1 species
UACGUAGGGGGGCUAGCGUUGUCCGGAAUCAUUGGGCGUAAAGCGCGUGUAGGCGGCCCGAUAAGUCCGCUGUGAAAGUCGGGGGCUCAACCCUCGAAAGCCGGUGGAUACUGUCAGGCUAGAGUACGGAAGAGGCGAGUGGAAUUCCUGGUGUAGCGGUGAAAUGCGCAGAUAUCAGGAGGAACACCCAUUGCGAAGGCAGCUCGCUGGGACGUUACUGACGCUGAGACGCGAAAGCGUGGGGAGCAAACAGG